GCUGACAGUGAGCUGCUCACAGCUGGACUGGGUCAGGUCGGCUCCGUGGAGAAGUUCUGCUCGUUUCAUUUACCAUGUCAACCGCGGCUGGGAAGCAGAUGCACACCUCCUUCUGACGCAUCAUCAGAUGGUCAAUAGCAGCCUAACUCUACGUCACAACACCUGUGUCAUUCACCUCCCUUGAUCUCCUCUCCUGGGCGUGUUCUCACGUCAUCUAAGAAGGCAAUAAAGAGUAGUUACCGUAAGAAGCACAAAUAUGGCAAAGCUGGACAUGAUGGAGAUUAUUACAGUCAUGGAGUAUGUAGGUGAGACAGAGAAGGAGGAAGAGGAAGAGGAAGGCAAGUCUGGAAUGUCCACGCUUGGCUUUGAGGAUGUCAUGGGUGGGAAUGCUAGCCUGAGCAGAGGGAGAAGCAGGCUCCCCGCUGAGCAGGGACCCCAGUGUGGGACCCGAUCCCAGGAUCCUGGAUCAUGACCUGAGCCGAAGGCGGAUGCUUAACUGACUGAGCCACCCAGGUGUCCCUCCAAUACGAAUUUUAUUACAUUACCUGUAGUUUGUAGUUUGUUUUAGAAAUGAAGGCCUCAAAUAAGAAAACACGAAGCUGUCAUGAAAACUUGGGCCAGGUAAGGUUGAGCAAAAACCCAGAGAAAUAGCUUAUGCCCCAGCCUCUUAGGGAAAUCUGGUCUGCGAUAACACUAAGAAAGUUCAAGAAAGGCAAGGAUGCUGUACUUUAAGAAACUGAAGAAUAAUACCUAAUAACCAGAAGUACUUCAAACUGGUUGAUUAAAUGGUCUCACAUAUUAAUAUAAUAUCUUGGUAUAAAGGGGGGAUAGAUAAAACCAGGUGGGAUUCUUUUCAUUUAACAUAAAAACUGCAUCGUGUAAAAGUUAAAUAUUUCCCCGAGUGCCUCUGGACUGAGAGUUAUUCAUCCAGGUUCUGCUGUCC